rnacentral:rRNA from 1 species
GACGAACGCUGGCGGCGUGCCUAACACAUGCAAGUCGAGCGGGAACCUCAGGAGGGGUAACCCUCCUGAGGGGAGAGCGGCGAACGGGUGAGUAACACGUGGGCAACCUGCCCGGACACCGGGAUAACCCAGGGAAACCUGAGCUAAUACCGGAUACUCCGGCGAGAUCGCAUGGUCGCGCCGGGAAAGCUCCGACGGUCCGGGAUGGGCCCGCGGCCUAUCAGCUUGUUGGUGGGGUAACGGCCCACCAAGGCGACGACGGGUAGCUGGUCUGGGAGGACGGCCAGCAACGCUGGGACUGGGUCACGGCCCAGACUCCUCCGGGAGGCAGCAGUGGGGGAUCUUGCGCUAAUGCGCGAAAGCGUGACGCAGGGACGCCGCGUGGGGGAUGAAGGCCCUCGGGUUGUAAACCCCUUUCGGCAGGGACGAAGCGAAAGUGACGGUACCUGCAGAAGAAGUCCCGGCUAACUACGUGCCAGCCGCCGCAGUAAUAC